UAUGUGCCUAUAGCUGGCUACAGGAUCACAGCAGCCAAAAGCCCUCCAGGAAGAAGUAUGGAAGCAGCUUUAUUGAGGUUGCCAGCAAGGAUUACGGCUUCUUUGACGCAUGAACGUUUUGGAAUUUAUGAGGAUUUUAAUGAGGAUUUUCUGAAAAAAAUAAAAAGUGUUAUGUUCUGGGCAUUCAUCUAUCCUCUCAUCAGCUUUUGAUCUACCACAUCUUGGUUGUUACCUUAGAAUUUUGCAACAUAAAUUUACAAUUAAUCCAAACCUGCUUUCAAAUAACACCAUAUCACCACGUAGGUAAGGCUAAACUUUACCUCAGAUACUGCUGAUAUUUACUGAUACAAUUGGCUCUGGGUCGAACUUGAAGCUGCAGCAGAAGAAGAUAUGGAAAAACUAAAAUCUUCCUCAAGCAAAUAUUAGAGUAAUUGUCAUUAUCUCACCAUGCUCUUUUCCUGGUUAUAAAUAUGCUAGAAAACAUUCUUACUGUAAUUUUA
rnacentral:lncRNA from 1 species